UACAGAGACUCCAAGCGUUAUUCGGAUUCACUGGGCGUAAAGGGUGCGCAGGCGGCCAAGUGUGUCUAGGGUGAAAUCCUGCAGCUUAACUGUAGAAUUGCCUUAGAAACUACUUGGCUAGAGUAUCGGAGAGGCAAGCGGAAUUCCUGGUGUAGCAGUGAAAUGCGUAGAUAUCAGGAGGAACACCGAAGGCGAAGGCAGCUUGCUGGACGAUUACUGACGCUCAGGCACGAAAGCAUGGGGAGCGAAAGGG
rnacentral:misc_RNA from 1 species